AUUGAACGCUGGCGGCAUGCCUAACACAUGCAAGUCGAACGGCAGCACGGCAGUAGCAAUACUGUGGGUGGCGAGUGGCGGACGGGUGAGGAAUACGUCGGAAUCUGCCCAGUCGUGGGGGAUAACUAGCCGAAAGGUUAGCUAAUACCGCAUACGACCGAGAGGUGAAAGCGGGGGGACCGCAAGGCCUCGCGCGAUUGGAUGAGCCGACGUCGGAUUAGCUAGUUGAGGGGUAAAGGCCACCAAGGCGACGAUCCGUAGCUGGUCUGAGAGGAUGAUCAGCCACACUGGAACUGAGACACGGUCCAGACUCCUACGGGAGGCAGCAGUGGGGAAUAUUGGACAAUGGGCGCAAGCCUGAUCCAGCAAUGCCGCGUGUGUGAAGAAGGCCCUUGGGUUGUAAAGCACUUUCAAUUGGGAAGAAAGGUUAGCGUGUUAAUAGCACGUAGCUGUGACGUUACCUUUAGAAGAAGCACCGGCUAACUCCGUGCCA
rnacentral:rRNA from 1 species